rnacentral:rRNA from 1 species
GAGGCCAUUGCUAUUGGGAUCCGAUUUAGCCAUGCUAGUCGUACGAGUUUAGACUCGUGGCGAAUAGCUCAGUAACACGUGGCCAAACUACCCUUCGGACCGCAAUACCCUCGGGAAACUGAGGCUAAUAGCGGACACCACACGCAGACUGGAAUGUCGCGUGUGUCAAACGCUCCGGCGCCGAAGGAUGUGGCUGCGGCCGAUUAGGUAGACGGUGGGGUAACGGCCCACCGUGCCAAUAAUCGGUACGGGUCAUGAGAGUGAGAACCCGGAGACGGAAUCUGAGACAAGAUUCCGGGCCCUACGGGGCGCAGCAGGUGCGAAACCUUUACACUGCACGCCAGUGCGAUAAGGGAAUCCCAAGUGCGCAGGCAUAGAGCCUGCGCUUUUGUUCACCGUAGGGAGGUGAACGAAUAAGGGCUGGGCAAGACCGGUGCUAGCCGCCGCGGUAAUACCGGCAGCCCGAGUGAUGGCCGAUCUUAUUGGGCCUAAAGCGUCCGUAGCUGACCGCGCAAGUCUAUCGGAAAAUCCACCCGCCCAACGGGUGGGCGUCCGGUAGAAACUGCGUGGCUUGGGACCGGAAGGCGCGACGGGUACCGUCCGGGGGUAGGGAGUGAAAAUCCCGUAAUCCUGGGAACGGGACCGCCCGAAUGGCGAAAAGCACGUCGCGAGGGACGGGAUCCCGAACAGUGAGGGGACGAAAAAGCCAGGGGUCUCGGAACCCGGGAUUUAGAAUAC